AAUCACUCUUGCUAUUCCAAGUUUCCAACACAUAUUGCAGUGAACUAUGCUAUCUCUUCUCACUUUUCCAAUAUAUUACGUUUCCAACACUGAAACUCCUUUCUCCCCUCAGAAAAACAAAAAAAACGAACACUGAACCCUUUUCUAUCAUCUUCUUCCUCCUCCUUCCUCUCAUUUACCCCAAAAUGUCACCAUCGUCUUUCCCAUCUCAUCACUCCCCUUCACCAAUUCUCUCCGUUACGUCGUCACCAUCGUCGACUCUACCGGCACCUUCUGCGCCAGAAGCUCAUUUGUUCUUCUCCAUGUGCGAGAUCGAUGAGCGUGACAUGACUUUGUGAUUUUGAAAUUAAUUCACGGUUUUGGAGAUUCAAUUUCGAUUUUGAUUUGAUUUCAACUUUGCUUCCAAUCAGUUUUCAUUGAGCAUGCCAAAUGGAAUCCAUGAUUUUGGUUUGUUUGCUUCAAACCAAAAUCAUGGAGCUUAUACUGGAGAAUGAUUUGCAUAACUUCUUCACUAUGGUUUGGAGCUUAUUAGGUUAUCCUAUGUAACUUUAGGUUUGGUUCCUAAUUAAACUGCAUUCUUCUGAUGUAUACAAUCAAUGAUGCUGGUGGAAUGUGGUUCAAAAGAUUUGAGAUGCAAGGUUCAUUGGUUCCUUAACGGAUAUCCAUGUUUGAAAACAAACAAGGAAGUGUAUGUGUAUGUGGGUAUGAGAUGUUUAGUGCAAAACUACUGACAUUGGUCACUUUGGACAGAGGAGCUAGGUUUGGAAGAUUGUGAAAUGAAGAUAUGGCUAAAAUUUGAUAGUAGCAUGUAAAAUGCGGGACUAUGUUCAAUCUUUUAUACAAUUCAUCUGGAUUUUACAAUGCAAGGAUUUUACAUUGCAAAUUAAAUGGAAGCUUUGAUAAGAUUCUAAAUGUCCUUGAGGUGCAUGUUAGGAUAAUUUUGUUUACAAUAUUGUAACUCCAUUAAGUUAUUUUUUAAAAGUGUGAUAGGUUUGAAGACAUUGGUACCAAUGAAGAUGAUGAUGAUACUAAUGUAACGUCAAAUGGUGUAUGUUUUAUGUAUGAUUUCCAAAAGAAAAUUGAUGAGAAGAUGUUUAUAAUAAGAUGUUGUAAAUGAGUGAUAAUCCUUGCCUCUGUCAAAUUCAUCUUUUAAA